AUGCAUGAACUAGAAGGGUUUUUCUGCAAAACUGCUCUCUCUGGAAUAAAGUCUAAAUUCGCUGGAACAGGAAAAAAACGUCACGGGCCGAAUCAACAGGCUGGCCCAACAGAUGGACAAAAAAACAAGAGGAGGGCGCUGGGGUGUGCUCACACUGGGCCUGGCCCGGUCAGUGGAACAUGCCGGCGGAUCUGGCGGCCCACGGCGAUGGCAAAUCAGAGGAGGGCGCUGGGCCUUGCAGGUCUGGGCCGAGGAGGGCGCAUCACUGGAGCGGUCAACGCGGGGUGGCUGGACGAGGCGGUGCUGCUCUCGUCUUCUGGAGAACAGAAACAGCAGCGGGACGAGAGGUUCAGAGCGGCAGCGGCGCCGGAGACGAGCAGUUCCAGAUGUGGGGCAUCGUUCUCCGGCGAGGUACUUGGCGGCGGCAACGGAUUCAGGAGGCUGGCGACGUCGGGCACGGUCGACGGCGAGCUCUUGCGUUAG
rnacentral:rRNA from 1 species